GGAUGUGAGGGCGAUCUGGCUGUGACAUCUGUCACCCCAUUGAUCGCCAGGGUUAAUUUGGCUGAUAUGGCUGGCUAGGCGGGUGUCCCCUUCCUCCCUCACCACUCCAUGUGCUUCCCUCCCAAAGAUGCGCUCUCGGUCAAAGAGGACCACCGUCCCUGAAUAGAGGAGGACUGGUCUUCGGUUAAGGGUAUACGAGUAGCUGCACUCCCCUGCUAGAACCUCCAAACAAGCUCUCAAGGACCAUGUCACUUUAGAAUGAUGCAACAUUGUGAUGACCUUGGGAAGGAGCAUUAGUAAAUGUCUUUCUAGUGAUUCAUGAGCUCCAGAAACCUUUU
rnacentral:snRNA from 1 species